CCGAGGCUUUUGGCCAGACGGCAAAUCUCCUUAAUAAUUGACCUCGGAUCAGGUAGGGAUACCCGCU
rnacentral:rRNA from 1 species